GGGAUUUUGUAAGUAUUGGUGUUGUUGAAUCGGAUUUGCAUUUAUUUUGGUUUGUCUUUGAUUUGAGUUUGAACCAAAGAUUGGAAUCUGGAAGAUAAUGCAAAACAUUAACAACUUGUCUUUUCCUUUAAGCACCUUUCCUUUACCUUUGGACAUCUGACCUGUUAAUCUGCUUCCAUGUUUACCUGUACUUGUUUUAUAGGAUUGGAGUCAGCGAUGCUCGGUGCCGCUCACUCCACAGAAGCGCUUUAUCAGGUUCCUUGAGCCCCGGUUUCCCCCCUCGUUUUCUGCCCCCCCCCUCUGUUCCUCUCCUGCUUGCAGACCAAAUGAGAGCAACCCUGCAGGAGCAUGGAGGAGAAGAGGAG
ensembl:lncRNA